UGGGGAAUAUUGGACAAUGGGCGAAAGCCUGAUCCAGCAAUGCCGCGUGAGUGAAGAAGGCCUUCGGGUUGUAAAGCUCUUUUACCCGGGAAGAUAAUGACUGUACCGGGAGAAUAAGCCCCGGCUAACUCCGUGCCAGCAGCCGCGGUAAUACGGAGGGGGCUAGCGUUGUUCGGAAUUACUGGGCGUAAAGCGUACGUAGGCGGUUAUCCAAGUCAGAGGUGAAAGCCCGGGGCUCAACUCCGGAACUGCCUUUGAAACUAGGUAGCUAGAAUCACGGAGAGGUAAGUGGAAUUCCGAGUGUAGAGGUGAAAUUCGUAGAUAUUCGGAAGAACACCAGUGGCGAAGGCGGCUUACUGGUCCGGUACUGACGCUGAGGUGCGAAAGCGUGGGGAGCAAACAGGAUUAGAUACCCACGUAGUCCCUGAGCGGGCUGGCAAGGCGCAU
rnacentral:rRNA from 1 species